CGCAGAUUGUAUGAUUCAGCGCCCAGCCCUAGUGGGCGCACACUUCCCGACAUCCUGCAAUAUACGAUAUUGUGAGGCGCAUACACUGAGUGCUCUAUUUUGAGGAAAGAUUUGUAUGGCUGUAACAAGCACAGGGGAAUAAGGAGAGGCCAUACACUGGUGUCAGCCGUCCUCGGUAAUACCAGCUCUCCGAGUGCUAGGGAUGUCUAUCGGUCUUAACGCGUCCGUAACCGGCUUAGCAAGUCUCCUGUUAAAUUCAGCGACCUAAUCGUUGACCCACGGGAGAUACUACUAGAUUAGUAGCCGGGAGAGGUCCAGGACAUUUCUGGGGUAGGGGUGAAAUCCAAUAAUCCCGGGAGGACCACCAUGGCCAAAGGUUUUGAAUUGGAAGGCGCUUUACGGUGGCGGACAACAAGUUGGGGGGCGGACCCGGAUUAGGUUACACCCCUAGUGCGCAUCCGUAAACGUUGCGGGUUAGUUAAUUGUGAGGCUACGGCCCACUUCAGUAUCCGCAGGGAAGCCACUUAGCCCGCCGCUUGCC
rnacentral:rRNA from 1 species